UAUAUGUAAACCUAUUUCACUGGGUACUGGGUUUUGUUCGUCGUUAAAAUAAGAAACGAAAAUCAACUGGAAAAUUUGGAUUGCAUAUAUUUAUCAUAUCAUUUGCACCCUUUAAUGACGUAUGUGUGAAGAUACAUACGUUUUUUAACAAUAGUAUAUUCCGAAUCGAAUUAUGAAUUAUGAAGUCUAGUCCUCAAUUUACCACCCUGGUUUACUGUAUAAGUGUGACCAAUGUAUGAAAGUGAUAUGGAUGAGAAUAAAUAUCAUCACAGACCAAUAUACGUAUUUGGUACUUUUCGAUUACAUCUCCAUCGAAAUAUACACAUUACUGGUGAAACUAUGAAAGCAUCAGAUAUAUCUCUUGCGCUGUGAUGAUUAUCAUUCCCACUCAUACCUUAUUUUUCAUUCGUCACAGUGAACAGGCGUGACCAACCUUUGAUACAUCUGAUAUGUGGUCAUAACAUGGUAUUGUAAUAUUUCAUCACAAAGUUAGUUAUAACGUGAUUAUAUCUUUAUCUUCUAGCACGUUAUAAAGAAAAAUUGCAUAGUCCAUCAUCUGUUCAACUACCACCUCGAUGUCCUACAUAGGCAUGGACAAGUAUUAUUACCAUUAACUAUGCUAUAGUUCCAUAGCUCUCCGCACCUCACGUUAAAUAGCCGGGGAAGGACUUGCUCCAAUUUAAUGUGAGAUUCCCGUAGAUUUAUAUGCUUCAUUUUUCGGGAUUUCGAAUAAAUAUUCUCAAGGCAUUUAGCUAUCGUCAUAUAUGCGAAAUAUUUUCUUUUAAAUGUCAUUCUGUCCUUUGCGUAAUGCGCGGAAGUGUUAUAUACGAGUAAAUGAAAGUAUUUGAAAAAAAAAAAAUUUAUCCAUAUCCUCACACUACAUUUUAAAAAAAUAUGUAAAGUAGUGGUAUAUGUAAGUAAAAGAAAAUAUUCGCAAAAUAUAGAUAUCUGUUUGUCUCCUUUGUACAUUGGCCUUAUAUCUGCAUAAAAUUUAUACCAGCGUCUGAUCUGGUCUGAAUAUUUUGGAGGUAUCCAGAUUAACAUGCAGUGGUAGAGGGUUCACGAACUGCCGUUACAAAGCAAAUGUAACGUCAACUGUUAAUUGUUAAGCGCGUUAACCGUAUCUGGGGAGACUGAGCCCGGGUGGGAGGAAAGAAAUGGUGAAGAAUGAACUGAUACAUUGGAGAGAAGAAAUAGGCGGAGAAUAGGAAAUUAGUGACGGGAAACGGAAAAAGGGAAGGAAGGAACCUUGAUUUUUCUCCGAAUAAGGGACCAGUAUAUAAACAACAGUUGCGAAAUUACAAUGAUUUCAGAAUACCUAAAAAAAAACAAAAAAAAAAAAACGCAUUUACUUCCAGCGACAAAAAAACUUAUUGAUACGUAAACAAUAAUUAAAGGUGAUUGAUAAAAUAAACACCCAUUGGCAAUAAAUGCCUUUUAUAUAAACCUAUCAACGUAUAACCAAAAGCUAAUAAUUUUUAUAUAAAGCUCUCUAAUUCGUUUACAUAACCUAUUAUGUAAACCUAUCAAUGAAUUACGUAAAACCAUUAAUUCUUGCAGAAACCUACAUAAUUAGUUUACAUAACCCUAUCUAAACAUAGAAACAUAGCAUUAAAAGAAAUUUGAACAAACAAGCGCAAGAUUCCAAUGUAUUGCAAUCUCAAUCUCAUCCCCUGCGUAAAUCGACGAGAAGGAAGUGAUGUAUGAGUACCUGAGAUUUGCCAUCUCGCAGCAGCAGCGACGGCACGCGCUGGAGCUCUGACAAUAUUUGACAUAAAACAAGCGAACGUUCCUCGCGCUCCUCAGUUGGUCUGGUGCCGCGGCCCAGGCGAGAGAAAGACAGUACGUGUAGGCAAUAUGUAAGUUUAAGAUUUGGAAAAAAAAAAGACUUACGAAAACUCAAAAGUGAAAAAAAAGGCGAAA